rnacentral:rRNA from 1 species
GACGAACGCUGGCGGCGUGCUUAACACAUGCAAGUCGAACGGAAAGGCCCUGCUUUUGUGGGGUGCUCGAGUGGCGAACGGGUGAGUAACACGUGAGUAACCUGCCCUUGACUUUGGGAUAACUUCAGGAAACUGGGGCUAAUACCGGAUAGGAUCUCCUGCUGCAUGGUGGGGGUUGGAAAGUUUCGGCGGUUGGGGAUGGACUCGCGGCUUAUCAGCUUGUUGGUGGGGUAGUGGCUUACCAAGGCUUUGACGGGUAGCCGGCCUGAGAGGGUGACCGGCCACAUUGGGACUGAGAUACGGCCCAGACUCCUACGGGAGGCAGCAGUGGGGAAUAUUGCACAAUGGGCGGAAGCCUGAUGCAGCAACGCCGCGUGCGGGAUGACGGCCUUCGGGUUGUAAACCGCUUUAGCCUGUGACGAAGCGUGAGUGACGGUAAUGGGUAAAGAAGCACCGGCUAGCUACGUG